GGAAAAGAUGAAAGCCGCCUAUCUCCAGAUCUAAGAAUAGAAAUCAGGGCGUUGGGAAAACAGGACACCUCCCAGAUGGCCCCUUUUAGGAAAACAUUCUCUUUAGAGUUCCCCCUAUAGGGAGUAGAGUAAUUUCCCCCAAAGGAUGGAGAGAGAGGUUAGCUAACAAAACUUGCCCGCUACUGACUUUUUUAUGAUUGUGGUGACUGUUCGUGGGAGAGGAAAUAAACAUUGUUUCUUUGUGAGUUAUCUGAAGCUCUGGUCACCACAAGGCCACUAAAUUAACUUUUGGAAAUGUGAGUUGCUCUAGGCAGGAUCCUGAUGGUUGGGACACCAGAAUAAUAAUCAGCUUUCAGAGCUAUUAGAACCAAGACGAAGAACAGGGUACAUUAAAUGAAAGGUAAAAAGGAGGAGAAACCUAGCAAGAACAUUGUAGACAAGGCUAGGCAAAGAUGAUGUAUCCUUCAGGUGAUGUGUCUGUCCUCAAGUUCAUCUACAAAGAAGAGGACUGGGCUGGAAGUUAGUACUUCACAACUUUUGAUUUGUUUUCACAUAUGUUACUUCAAUCCUGAUGACAAUUCUGAAACGGAUAAAACUGCUACUAUGUAUCCUUCUUUCACUAAUGAGGAAAUUGAGAUUUGGAGUUGAUAAGUGAAGAGCUUUGCUGGAGUCACACAGAUCGGAAGUUGAGAGCCAGGAUUUCAACCCAGGCUAAUCUCAAAACACCAGGUAGGAGGUUCUUCAUACUCUACCACUUUAAUAAGAAUGCUCUAGACUUUGUUAAUUCAUUUAGAUUAGUAAGAUAGCAAAUUCCUACUCAACCUGGAAUUGGGUCUAUAUCUUAUUGUUGUAGAGUCUUCAACUUUCGCAGAGACUUGCUGAAAUAUUUACAGGUGAAAUGAUAGAAUAGUUAGGAUUUGUUUCAAAGUCAUCCAGUGGUGGAGGAAAAGAUGAAAUGUGUGGAAGUAGAGAUAAUAACAACAACUUUUGAACUGGUAAUUGUUGAAGAUAAUGAGAUGGGUUCAUGAGGUCUGUUACUGCUAUUCUGUCUGUAUAAAAUUUGCCAUAAUUUAACAAAAAACUCCCAAUCUUAAUAUUUAUCAUACCUACAGUAUAUUCUUUUCUAAGUUGUUUCUGACCUUGUUUCAAUUUCUGAUGAGUUAAUCAGUGUCUCAAAUAUUUCUGGGAAUUCUCCAUCUCAUGCAUUCCUUCUGUUCCUCUGCAUUAGUUUCUCCCUUCCUAUUCUACUGAAUUACAACCUUGCAAGAAAUUAAAACCUACCUCCCUUCAAAAAGGAAAAUAAAUCUAAAUUAAAA